UACGUAGGGGGCAAGCGUUGUCCGGAAUCAUUGGGCGUAAAGAGCGUGUAGGCGGCUCGGUAAGUCCGCUGUGAAAGUCCAGGGCUCAACCCUGGAAUGCCGGUGGAAACUGUCGAGCUAGAGUCCGGAAGAGGCGAGUGGAAUUCCUGGUGUAGCGGUGAAAUGCGCAGAUAUCAGGAGGAACACCGAUGGCGAAGGCAGCUCGCUGGGACGGUACUGACGCUGAGACGCGAAAGCCAGGGGAGCGAACGGG
rnacentral:rRNA from 1 species